AUUGAACGCUGGCGGCAGGCCUAACACAUGCAAGUCGAGCGGAUGACGGGAGCUUGCUCCUUGAUUCGGCGGCGGACGGGUGAGUAAUGCCUAGGAAUCUGCCUGGUAGUGGGGGACAACGUUUCGAAAGGAACGCUAAUACCGCAUACGUCCUACGGGAGAAAGCAGGGGACCUUCGGGCCUUGCGCUAUCAGAUGAGCCUAGGUCGGAUUAGCUUGUUGGUGAGGUAAUGGCUCACCAAGGCGACGAUCCGUAACUGGUCUGAGAGGAUGAUCAGUCACACUGGAACUGAGACACGGUCCAGACUCCUACGGGAGGCAGCAGUGGGGAAUAUUGGACAAUGGGCGAAAGCCUGAUCCAGCCAUGCCGCGUGUGUGAAGAAGGUCUUCGGAUUGUAAAGCACUUUAAGUUGGGAGGAAGAGUUGUAGAUUAAUACUCUGCAAUUUUGACGUUACCGACAGAAUAAGCACCGGCUAACUCUGUGCCAGCAGCCGCCGUAACAC
rnacentral:rRNA from 1 species